rnacentral:rRNA from 1 species
UACAGAGGUGGCAAGCGUUGUUCGGAAUUACUGGGCGUAAAGGGCGCGUAGGCGGCCUUCUUAGUCGGACGUGAAAUCCCCAGGCUUAACUUGGGAACUGCGUCCGAUACUGGGAGGCUUGAGUGCGGGAGAGGGAUGUGGAAUUCCAGGUGUAGCGGUGAAAUGCGUAGAUAUCUGGAAGAACACCCGUGGCGAAGGCGGCUCUCUGGGACGGUACUGACGCUGAGACGCGAAAGCGUGGGGAGCGAACAGG